GCUUCUGUAGUAUAUUAGUAUGGGGGACUUCCAAUCCUUAGGUCCACUUAGUUGUGGUAGAGGUA
rnacentral:tRNA from 1 species